rnacentral:rRNA from 1 species
AUGGGGCCCCGACUACCAAGUUCGCCGGCUUUCGCAGUGAUGCGGAAAAGAGCAAGCAGCGGCUUAACGGCCUAUCUGAUUGCGAGGCAGGAGAUACAGAGGAAGAUGGACGAGUUGGCCGAGAAGGAGCUUGGGCCGGAUGGCAAGGAGAGGUUCCUUGCCACUCUACUCUCCCAAGACAAGAUGAGGUCGAUGGAGGAGAUGAUCGCCGAUUCGGCGCGCAACAUCUUCCAAGAAUUUUUUCAUAUGUUACACCAAUCGCCGAUGGAAGAGGAAGAAGAAGAGGAAGAGGAAGAGGAGCUGGAGCUGGAGGAGGAGGAGGAGGAGGAGGAAGAUGAGGAGGUAGAAGAAAAAGAAGAAGAGGAGGAGGAUGAAGAGGAAUUGGAGGAGGAGGAAGACGACGAGGAAUUACGCAUGACUGUUCAGGUAUCCUUCUUGUGCGACCAGAUCGGCGACCUGGUACUAGAACUUCUGAAGAUGGUUCCAGAUGAAGAGCCGGGAAAUCAAUUGCUGUCCUCGGUCACAAGGCUAAAUAGAUUGCAGUGGAUCACAGACAGCAUCAACAAUUUCGCCUCAGAAAUUCAGGUGAGGGGCCAGGAGGUGAGGACCUCGGAGAAGAAACAGGAGCAGGAGAGGACCUUGGAGGAGAGGGAAAUCAACGGACAAGUGAUGGUCGCCGGAGGCAGAUUAGUCACUAUGGCAACGGACAGGGGCUUGGAGGGUGAAGUGGUGAUCAGCGAGGCCGCAGCCGCAGCCGCGGAGUACGAGGAGGAGGCUUUUGCUCGCUUCCGUAGGGCCUGGGAGUGUCGCCAAGGUGCCAACAGCUUCGAAGACCUCACUUUGUUGAGUCCCAUGCUCUUUACACACUGUACACUGGGAUUCAAGCCAGUAGACGCUGUCCUCCCAAGGACUAUGCAUAUCUGUUCUAUCAAAGUUACUGACUUGAAAUACUUUAAAUGGCCACUGCAAGUAUAUGGUGUGGUUGCCGCCCGAGAUGCUGUGGAUGGGCGUCGCAACCCCAUCUUCCUUUGUCCAAGGGAUGACUGCCAAAUCCUCAAUGAAGCGUUAUGUUCUCAGCAACUUAAACGUUCGGUUCAAGCCACUAUCUUUGGUGUUCAUGUUGUUGAUGAGAAGUUAACGCCUUUUCAAUAUGGAGUCCGAGUUGUUUGCUACACAUUUUCUGAGCGUGAGAUUGAAGAAGUCAAUGUGUCCAAGUCAAGGAAAAUUGUAUUGCUUGAUUCAAAAGCUAGAAGAAAGUGUGCAGUUAAAGGUGGUUAUCUAAAUCUGUCAAGGCAAGUUCUAUCCGUAGAAUUCGGCGGAAAGCUAAAAGUUCUUAUUCAGGCAUACACACCAACCGGAGACAUCGCUGCACAAGGACUUGUAUUUGUGGUACCCAAAACAUACAACGCAAGUCAACAUGUAUGUGAGCUUGGCGGCUUCAAGGUGGAGUUUACCAUUGCUUGGUCCCUCCUUGUUGAAGAUGAGGAGCAUAUCUUGAUGAAUGGAUGUGUGGAUCCUUUGGCAUCGUGUCCACCUAUGAACCCCUCUUUUUUCAACGAGGGGCUAUCUUCUUCCAAUGGUGGUUUGUUGAUGUAA